ACAGAGUUUUUAAGCUUCGACGUUUGUUCAAGUUGAUGAAUAUGAUAAGUGAGGAAUAUAUAAAGCAUAUCAUUUGGAAUAAAUUAAUAGGCAGCGUAUGUAAGUUGUGUGUGUACAGUCGAUAAACAAUGUGGUGCUACCUCCUUAAUAUUUAAUCUUACGUGAACUAAUAAAAUAUAUUCAUUGCGGAUUUUAGUAUUAUGAAGAAUUUUAAGUAAACAAAAUAAUUGAUUUUUGUAGUUUAAACGGAGCAGAGGUGUGAUUACAGCGGCAUUGACGACUUUAUUUUGGAUAAAGAACGGAGUUUGGUGGUGAUCUCUUUAACAGGAAAGUUUAUAAUAAAAUGAAGUUUCGGUGUUGGCGUUAAUCAUUACGGGUACAAUAAAGGAGAAGAGGAAAAUGGCAGUGUGAAGACAUUUCACGAGGUGAAAUAUUCCCAACAUUUAGCACAGUAUUGUGGAUCAUUUAAAAACAAUCAAUUUUAAUAAUAGAUAUCCAAAAUACAUUUUAAAAUUUUAUAGGUAUGGUAUAAUUCGGUACCAACGGAAAAUAUGCACAAAUUAAAUGCGUUUUCUUGUAGCUUCAAACCAUUAAAAAAAAUCGAAUAUUUAUAUUCCGUAACAUUAAACUGCAUUCUACUGUGAAUAAUCAUUUUAACGACGAAUAAACGGUAUUUAUUUUCACCUUCUACCGUAUCAAAGUCAAAAUUAGACCUAUUUGACAAGAAAUUCCAAGUAAUGACACUACAAAAUGUAUACCAAAUACUUAUCUUUACUAUCGCGACUAAUUUAUAGCAAAAAUUCGACGUGUAUGCUAUAUAUCGCCAAUAUGAAAUUAAAAUUAAAAUUUACCACUCAUCUAGUAUUAUCCAAAAAUGGGCCUUGGAACGGCUCCUAAUGAACAUGAGUAUUAUUUCAGAACGGUUUAGUUGAGAUUACUGUGGUAUUGUUAAAUGUUAUUGUUAUGCGUAUGUUUAUUUGAUUUUACGUGUUUAAAUUCGGUGGCAAGUUUUAUUCUUCUGAAUGCACUUAUCAAACAGUAAAAUAUUCAAAAAUUCCUGGAUACCGAGCAAGCUAUCACAUAUAUUCAGUAUUCAUGUAUUAUUAUCAAAUCAUAUUUCAAAUAAUUAUGUGUUUGCUUCUCGUGUGCAGAUUUGAUAUAAAUACGUAUAUGCGAUUUCGUCUUGCAUAAAACAUUUUGGACAACGCUGUAAUGUUUGUCUACAUCCAUUAUUUUCUAUGGAAACAAUGCUACGAAGGUCAUAUCUCGUCUUUUAUUGACUACAUACUGUAUUCAUAUAUUAUUAUUAUUAUUAUUAUAGAAUCAGUUUCGAGAUAUUUCUUAUUUGGGUAGUGAUCACGUAAUGCACGAAAGGUGUGAAAUUAAGUUUUGGGUUCUUGAGUUCGGCUUCGAUGUUCAAUUUCAUGUGACUGCUGUAGGGCUGCUAUCGAAAUGAAUAGUAAAUGUUUAUUUUCAAAACAAAAUGUUCUGUUAUGACAAAAUUUGCAAAAUUGCAUAGCAGAUAUUUCCCUUAAAACUUCGUUACAAAUGUUUUACAGCGUACACGACUCCGAAACUUAAAAUAAUACGGAAGACGAACAGUAUUUCAGAUAUUUAGAUUCUUUGUUAAGAGAUUCUUAAUUAUGAUGUUUGAUCGUCUGUCUCAGUUCAAAACUGAGGAUAUUCUAAUUAGGCACUUCAAAGAAUACAAAGUAUAUGAAAAGGAAUACGUAUUUCCUGAGGCUUUGGGUUAUUUAAGCAAGGAACAUGGAACUUAAUUUUACAAGUGAAUAGUGAUGUUUAACAUGAAAGUGGCUUGUACACCCACGAUAGGCGGAUGCUGUGAAUAUAAUGUGGGAUGGUAAUUUAUGAAUUACUGAGAUGGAACCGAAACGGAAACAUAUGUUAAAUACAUCUCGGACAAGAAUAUUUGUUUAAUUUACCAGUGACUUUAGUAACAUGCCAUUGUUGUGUUCACAAGAAAUACUAAUAACAGACGCACAUUCCGUAUAUAAUGAUACGAAUAUUUGCAAGGAAACUUCAUUGUGUGAAUUCUUUUUGGUCAUUUUGUCUGUAUUUAUGCUCUAAGACUAUUAUAAUGGCAUUCUUCCCGCCUAAUGAAACAAUCUUCACUCAUUUUCAAAAAAAAACUGUACUUUUUAAAAUAUUGUACGUAAUAGUUACUUCGCAAAUGCCUUGGCACAAGUGAAAUGUAAUACUUCCUUAUAUCUGAGUUAGUUUAUACUGAUUUCGAAAUAUUGUAGCCCACAUUAUUUUGAGUAGAAAAUAUUCCACAUUACUGUCAAUAUGAUCGUACGACUCAGUACUGAAAUCAUGUUUAUACGAAAUAAAAACAAUAUUUUAAAUACGUGCACAUAUAUAUAUAUAUAUAUACUCCGAUAACGUUCCUAUAGGUAAAAAUAAACAAUGAAACUGCGGUAUCUCAACAUGUGCAGCCAUCUUUCCGCGAAAAAGCAUAGUUGCGGCGGUGUUUGUUAAAGUAAUUUAUUUUUCUUUACAGAAACGGAUAUGCUCACUCACUAAAUAACGUGCUGGUAUUUUGAAAUUAUUUGUUUGUAUUAAGUAAAAUGUUAUUGGUGUAUAAAUGCGGGGUUCUGGACAAUCUCGGCAACGGUUUCUUGAAAUAAGAAUAUACCUAUAUAUAUUUUAUAUUAAAAUAUCAUCGUCAAUAGAAUGAGAGGUACACAUUGUGUUACGUCAUUUGAUGUCAUAAUUUUAUUCUUUUUAAGUGAGAUUCAAUUAUGACAUUUGUUAACAUGUGUUGACACAAUGUGUCAAUGUUUUGGACAUACGAGAGGAAAGUAAAAUAUUCUUAAACAUGAUAAUAGUUAUAAUUUCUCCGAUUAACUGUAUUACAGUAUAAAGCCUCCGGAAAAAUUAGCCAAUAUAUUUUUGAAUAAUGUUCAUUUCCAUAAAAGUUUAAUUAAAACUUUCAAAAUUAACAUCUGGAUGACGGUGGACAGGAGAUUUCUUUCGAUCCAGCAGCAAAUUAUUUGUUAUUGAACUAUUUCGGAGAAUUUUGUUUCUCUUGAACUAGAAAGACCAGAAUAUUCACAUCACAUUGGACCUUGUUCGGAGUAUGUUUGAUCCAGUUAAUGCCUUUGCAAAUGUAUCUUAUUAUUAAUUUUAAUACUUUCUCCCAUCUACACAAAGAUCUCAAAAAUGAAAUUUUCCUUGUGGGUCUCCAAUAAAAAUUAUGCAUGCAUUUCUUAUAUCCCUCAUGCCAUUUACACAGAAAUAGAUCCAGUUUCAUAGGUAUGUAUGUAAUUCUUAGGACUGAACCUUCUGUUAAUACUUUUGUUAGUACGACGAACGAUCCCGUGAAUUACCAAAUUAAAUAUAGAUUUAUAUUAAAAUAAGCACCUUAUACAAUUACAGAUAUGAUUUAUUAUAUAAAUUUUCAGAUUACGGAAAAUAAAUAUGUGCGAUAUUUACAUCAAAAAUUUAAGAAAUGUAUCGAGAAACUAUACGAUCAUAUUAUCAGUAUCAUGUUUAAUAUGUUACCAUAUUUUUGUCCAGAAUGAAUCGAUAUUUCUCAGCUAUUUACCAAAUAGUUGUCCCCCUUCUGUGAAGGGUCGUUUUAAUUGUAAAGAAUGUACUCUAUUACAUAUAUAUAUAACCGUUGUGACAAGAGGAAGAAUAAGAAUUUAUACAGAAUUCAUGUUAACCUGUUUAACGUAUUAAUAAUGAAGAUUGAGGUUUUAUGAAAUAAUAUUGUGAUAAUAAAAUUAUAUGAAACAUUU